UCCUCUCUCCUCGGUUCCUCCAACAACAAAGAAAACCUCAAGAACAAAGUUUCAUAAAACAAUCUAAUUCACUCUACUCAUUCAUCUUUCGAGCUACAUAUUUGAAGAACAACAUCACACCAUGUCAAGACUACCUAUUAUGAUUUGUGAUUUGAUGGUAGAUAAAAAUGUCUGAAAAAUCGCCAUUCGCGUGGUUGAUUUGUGGAUAGUUAAGGAGCGAAAUGGACAGCAACACUUUAAAGGUGUUAUCCAAGAUUCUAAGGGGGACAAAAUCCAUGUCGUCACCCGGAACCGGGAUUUCGAGAUGUGGAAACAAACCUUACAAGAACACCAAACAUAUAUGGUUUAUAAUGGCAACCCUCUUGUCAAUGAUCUUUCUUUUAAAAUCCGUGACAACCCAUUGAAGUUACUUCUUCAUGGAGGAACCACUAUAACCAUGUUAGACAUGCCGGAAAUACCAAUGGGCCAGUUUCAUUUUAAAACCAUUGUUGAUUUCUUGCACGGGAAUUUUGAAGUGAACCACUUAUACAAUGUUAUGGGUGUACUCCACCAAGUACUAAAGAAUCAGGUUGCAUGGGGUGGACGAAAGGCAUGCGUCAAUAUUCUUUUAUCAGAUGAGAUGUUGUUGUCUUAUCACUACCUUGUAAUGCUUAACAUGUUCCAUUUCUCUAUAGUUGGUUUAUUAAGUUUCCGUAUCUCUUUUAUUUGAAGUGGAACCGAACUUGAUCUUACAUUGUGGGAAACAUAUGCCAACUGAUUUAUAGCACAGACAUCUAAAAAUACCACAGGGAGCCCCAAAACCAUCAUGAUCACUCAUGCUAUGUGACAAAAAAGUUCAACCACUGGAAAACUCUAUAUUUCUAAUGCUUGGAAUGGAUAAAAACUGUUUAUUGAUUAUGAUCAUCCACAUGUCACAUCAUUCAAAGCAAAAUUGGGAGACAAUGGUCACUCCAAUGUUCUUUCACAACAACUAUCUCAAAGUUCUACAUAUCAAGGAGCGUUUGAAGACCGUUCAUUCUCAUAUACCAAUGAGAUCAAAACUAUCGGGGACAUCAAUUCUCUUCAACAUGUAAUGUCUAUUAUUUAUUUGUUUUAUGCUCUUCCACUAAUUUCUCUUCAACUGCAGAUGUAAUACGUAUAUAUAUUCUAAUCAAGCUACUUUAUAGUCGAUUGUUUGCAACACAUUUGGAACAACUAAGAGGUUCAAAUCAAGUCGGUUUGAUUGGUACUAUGAGCAGUGUCCAGCUUGUAAGAGGACUAAUAAGUCUCUAGGGGUUCCUUUCAUAUGUACCUGUUGUGAAAACAAAGUUGCUCCCAUCACUAAGUAAGAUCAUCAAACUUUAGUUUCAAUUAAAUUAAAUUGCAAUUAUAUCCUUCAUGGACAACUUUAUCUAUGUACAUACAUUCUUAACUAGGUAUAAAAUUGAAAUAGAGGUUGAGUAUGAAGGUAAUAUUGGUUGUUUUGUGUUUUGGGACA